UACAGAGGGGGCCAGCGUUAUUCGGAAUUAUUGGGCGUAAAGGGCGCGUAGGCGGCUUUGCGUGUCUUUCGUGAAAUCCCUCGGCUCAACUGAGGACGUGCGGAAGAAACCGCAGGGCUGGAGUCCGGGAGAGGAGGGUGGAAUUCCCAGUGUAGCGGUGAAAUGCGUAGAUAUUGGGAGGAACACCAGUGGCGAAGGCGGCUCACUGGCCCGUAACUGACGCUGAGGCACGAAAGCGUGGGGAGCGAACAGG
rnacentral:rRNA from 1 species